rnacentral:rRNA from 1 species
CUACGGGCUGCUCCAGUGGGGAAUCUUAGACAAUGGGCGCAAGCCUGAUCUAGCCAUGCCGCGUGAGUGACGAAGGCCUUAGGGUCGUAAAGCUCUUUCGCUGGGGAAGAUAAUGACGGUACCCAGUAAAGAAACCCCGGCUAACUCCGUGCCAGCAGCCGUGGUAAUACGGAGGGGGUUAGCGUUGUUCGGAAUUACUGGGCGUAAAGCGCGCGUAGGCGGAUCAGAAAGUUGGGGGUGAAAUCCCGGGGCUCAACCCCGGAACUGCCUUCAAAACUCCUGGUCUUGAGUUCGAGAGAGGUGAGUGGAAUUCCGAGUGUAGAGGUGAAAUUCGUAGAUAUUCGGAGGAACACCAGUGGCGAAGGCGGCUCACUGGCUCGAUACUGAUGCUGAGGUGCGAAAGCGUGGGGAGCAAACAGGAUUAGAUACCCCAGUAGUC